UUAGAGGAAACUGAAAAUUCUAUAAAAAUUUUCAGGAAUCUGUUCGAUUGUGCUCUAAGAUUCAAACAGUUUCCUUGAGAAUAUUCUGGGUAAACAGCACUGAUCUCAGCAAAUACACCUUGUUCCUUUAAUUGUAAGAAGCACUGUUGAUUCUGGCCCCCUUUCCAGCAGUUGUCCCCAGUGUUGCUUGGAGUGAUGAAAACCCUGAGGAGAGAGGCCUUCCACACUGUGUCAUGCACCCACAUUAGGAAACAGUGACCUCGAGCUCCUCCAGGUCCUCCUGUGUGGGAGAGAGAGUUCAAAGAGAGCAGGGAGCUCUCUCCAGCUUAGCAAGUCUGCCUCUUUUACCCUGGGCUGGGGAUCCCGACAUUGCAGAGCCGACAUAUGAAAGGAAGUCUGGAAACUCCGCCGAAGCCUGUUUAGCAUCAUUGCAACACAGAAGCCUCCACUGACAGACGAGUGAUGGCUGCAUAUGAGGAGGACUGGCUGGGAACCUCACCCAGGUCUCCGGCAUGGAAGGUGAGAAUUCUGCCACAGAACCACCGAUGCUCCCACCCCCAGCCUGCGGUCUCCGCAAGAAGGCUUAGAACAUCCGCCAUAUUAUCGGCGCCUCCCGGGAAGCCAUCCACACUCAGCACUCACCCUCAGGCCCUGUAACCUCAUUCUUGUCACCACUUGACCAACGCC